AUGCACGCUGGCGGCGUGCCUAAUACCUGCCAGUCGAGCGAACAGACGAGGAGCUUGCUCCUCUGCCGUUAGCGGCGGACGGGUGAGUAACACGUGGAUAACCUACCUAUAAGACUGGGAUAACUUCGGGAAACCGGAGCUAAUAACGGAUAAUAUAUUGAACCGCAUGGUUCAAUAGUGAAAGACGGUUUUGCUGUCACUUAUAGAUGGAUCCGCGCCGCAUUAGCUAGUUGGUAAGGUAACGGCUUACCAAGGCGACGAUGCGUAGCCGACCUGAGAGGGUGAUCGGCCACACUGGAACUGAGACACGGUCCAGACUCCUACGGGAGGCAGCAGUAGGGAAUCUUCCGCAAUGGGCGAAAGCCUGACGGAGCAACGCCGCGUGAGUGAUGAAGGUCUUCGGAUCGUAAAACUCUGUUAUUAGGGAAGAACAAAUGUGUAAGUAACUAUGCACGUCUUGACGGUACCUAAUCAGAAAGCCACGGCUAACUACGUG
rnacentral:rRNA from 1 species